GCGCAGGUGGAGGAAUUAGGCAGACUCUCUGGUCUCAGAAGCCAGUGUCCCUAAAACGGACGUGAGGGUUCGAGUCCCUCUCUGCGCA
rnacentral:tRNA from 1 species